GCGCUUUUUUUGUGUUUAGUUCCUAGAAAAUUCUACAAGAAGAGAUGGAUGAAAAAAGUAUGGAGUUUUUGGAAAAUGUGGAUCCCGAGAACGCGGAAUUUUUGAUUGCUCUUUUUAAAGGCAACGUACUACGUACCAAGGCAGCCGAAAACUAAUUUGGAAGGCGCGAAGCAGCCCAGGGGUAAAUUAUAUGAUAAAUAUACCUGCAUAAUAAAAGAUUUGCGUGCUUCAGGAUUACGGUCGAAAGAGUCCGAACAGCCAACAACUGUUCAUGACGAUGGAGUAAAGAGAGAUGAACAGGGUAAAGUGAAGGAAGACCUGGAGUGGUUAAGACGAUGACUCGAACCCGAGGUUGAGGCUACUGAGCGGUGGAGUAGGACUUCCGAUUAUCGCCUCCAUUCCUUAAGAGUUACUCCUACUAGAAAAAAGGGGAUUCGUCGUCAAAUUAAUUCAAUUACAAUUUAUUUCAACGAAUUUAAGGUUCUGAGACAGCCUUGGGGCUAUAUACUUUCUACCAUUCUUUGG